CCGGUAAACGGCGGCCGUAACUAUAACGGUCCUAAGGUAGCGAAAUUCCUUGUCGGGUAAGUUCCGACCUGCACGAAUGGCGUAAUGAUGGCCAGGCUGUCUCCACCCGAGACUCAGUGAAAUUGAACUCGCUGUGAAGAUGCAGUGUACCCGCGGCAAGACGGAAAGACCCCGUGAACCUUUACUAUAGCUUGACACUGAACAUUGAGCCUUGAUGUGUAGGAUAGGUGGGAGGCUUUGAAGUGUGGACGCCAGUCUGCAUGGAGCCGACCUUGAAAUACCACCCUUUAAUGUUUGAUGUUCUAACGUUGGCCCGUUAUCCGGGUUGCGGACAGUGUCUGGUGGGUAGUUUGACUGGGGCGGUCUCCUCCUAAAGAGUAACGGAGGAGCACGAAGGUUGGCUAAUCCUGGUCGGACAUCAGGAGGUUAGUGCAAUGGCAUAAGCCAGCUUGACUGCGAGCGUGACGGCGCGAGCAGGUGCGAAAGCAGGUCAUAGUGAUCCGGUGGUUCUGAAUGGAAGGGCCAUCGCUCAACGGAUAAAAGGUACUCCGGGGAUAACAGGCUGAUACCGCCCAAGAGUUCAUAUCGACGGCGGUGUUUGGCACCUCGAUGUCGGCUCAUCACAUCCUGGGGCUGAAGUAGGUCCCAAGGGUAUGGCUGUUCGCCAUUUAAAGUGGUACGCGAGCUGGGUUUAGAACGUCGUGAGACAGUUCGGUCCCUAUCUGCCGUGGGCGCUGGAGAACUGAGGGGGGCUGCUCCUAGUACGAGAGGACCGGAGUGGACGCAUCACUGGUGUUCGGGUUGUCAUGCCAAUGGCACUGCCCGGUAGCUAAAUGCGGAAGAGAUAAGUGCUGAAAGCAUCUAAGCACGAAACUUGCCCCGAGAUGAGUUCUCCCUGACUCCUUGAGAGUCCUGAAGGAACGUUGAAGACGACGACGUUGAUAGGCCGGGUGUGUAAGCGCAGCGAUGCGUUGAGCUAACCGGUACUAAUGA
rnacentral:rRNA from 1 species